AACAAGGAACUACAGGCGGACUCAGCAGGGGAUAGAUAAUCUAGGUCAUCCGCUGUGCAGCCUCCUUGGCGAGCAGCUUUUCCCUGGCCUUGGUCUUCGCUUGCGACUUGGAGCCCAUGAUGCCACCUCCCCACUUCUUCCUGACCUCGUCGAACUUGUCGUUGAAGUUCGCCUGGAGUAGAAUUGAGUCAGCUUAAGAGCAGAAACAUCAUAACCAUAUGAUAUCAAUCAUACUGCGAUAUGCCGUUCUCCCUACCUUAAUAGCCUCCAAGAUCUUGCUGAACUCAAGCUUGUCCUCAUUCUUGACAGUGGUCAGGCACAGGACAGAUGCAGUCUUCUUGUGAACAAUCUGUAUAUCAUUAUUUGUAAAGAAUGAGCAUCUAUUUCAACUACCCUUCAAUCAAGCCACCAGGCUCAAAACAGUGUAGGCAAGAACAUACCGAUCCAAGGCGAGCCUUUCCUUUAACAAUGCAGUAAGGGACCUCCAUCUUCCUGCACAGGGCUGGAAGCCACACGACCAGCUCAAUAGGAUCCACAUCAUGAGCGAUGACAACA
rnacentral:lncRNA from 1 species